rnacentral:rRNA from 1 species
GACGAACGCUAGCGACGUGCCUAAGAAAUGCAAGUUGAGCGAGGUCUAGGCUUCGGCCGAAAACCUAGCAGCGAACGGUCGCGUAACACGUAAGCAACCUGCCCUAAAGUGGGGGAUAGCCCUCCGAAAGGAGGAUUAAUACCGCAUGUGAACAGUUUUACGCAUGUUUUACUGUUUAAAGUAGCAAUACGCUUUAGGAUGGGCUUGCGGCCUAUCAGCUAGUUGGUGAGGUAACGGCCCACCAAGGCGACGACGGGUAGCUGGUCUGAGAGGAUGGUCAGCCGGACUGGGACUGAGACACGGCCCAGACUCCUACGGGGGGCAGCAAUUAGGAAUCUUGCGCAAUGGGCGAAAGCCUGACGCAGCGACGUCGCGUGACUGAUGAAGUCUUUCGGGAUGUAAAGGUCUUUUCUGAAGGAAGAAGAAUGUGACGGUACUUCAGGAAUAAGCCCCGGCUAACUACGUGCCAGCAGCCGCGGUAAGUCUCGCGUGA